rnacentral:rRNA from 1 species
ACAGGGAUUGCCCUAGUAACGGCGAGUGAAGCGGCAACAGCUCAAAUUUGAAAUCUGGCGUCUUCGGCGUCCGAGUUGUAAUUUGCAGAGGGCGCUUUGGCAUUGGCAGCGGUCCAAGUUCCUUGGAACAGGACGUCACAGAGGGUGAGAAUCCCGUACGUGGUCGCUAGCCUUUACCGUGUAAAGCCCCUUCGACGAGUCGAGUUGUUYGGGAAUGCAGCUCUAAAUGGGAGGUAAAUUUCUUCUAAAGCUAAAUACUGGCCAGAGACCGAUAGCGCACAAGUAGAGUGAUCGAAAGAUGAAAAGCACUUUGGAAAGAGAGUUAAAAAGCACGUGAAAUUGUUGAAAGGGAAGCGCUUGCAGCCAGACUUGCCUGUAGUUGCUCAUCCGGGUUUCUACCCGGUGCACUCUUCUACGGGCAGGCCAGCAUCAGUUUGGGCGGUUGGAUAAAGGUCUCUGUCAUGUACCUCCUUUCGGGGAGAACUUAUAGGGGAGACGACAUGCAACCAGCCCGGACUGAGGUCCGCGCAUCUGCUAGGAUGCUGGCGUAAUGGCUGUAAGCGGCCCGUCUUGAAACACGGACCAAGGAGUCUAACAUCUAUGCGAGUGUUUGGGUGUCAAGCCCGAACGCGUAAUGAAAGUGAACGGAGGUGGGAACCUUUCGGGGUGCACCAUCGACCGAUCCUGAUGUCUUCGGAUGGAUUUGAGUAAGAGCAUAGCUGUUGGGACCCGAAAGAUGGUGAACUAUGCUUGAAUAGGGUGAAGCCAGAGGAAACUCUGGUGGAGGCUCGCAGCGGUUCUGACGUGCAAAUCGAUCGUCAAAUUUGGGCAUAGGGGCGAAAGACUAAUCGAACUAUCUAGUAGCUGGUUCCUGCCGAAGUUUC